AGUCAAGCGGAUACAAAGAAGGAUCUUGCUCCUUUGGCGUCGAGCGGGGUAAGGUUGAGUAAUGCUUGGGAACAUGCGUUGAGGUGGGGGACAACCGUUGGAUACGACGGCUAAUACCGCAUAAUCUCUGUGGAGCAAAGGGGGCUUUUAGCUCUCGCCUUUAAAUUGGCCCAAGUGGGAUUAGCUAGUUGGUAAGGUAAUGGCUUACCAAGGCGACGAUCCCUAGCUGGUUUGAGAGGAUGAUCAGCCACACUGGAACUGAAACACGGUCCAAACUCCUACGGGAGGCAGCAGUGGGGAAUAUUGCACAAUGGGGGAAACCCUGAUGCAGCCAUGCCGCGUGUGUGAAGAAGGCCUUCGGGUUGUAAAGCACUUUCAGCAAGGAGGAAAGGUUAGUAGUUAAUACCUGCUAGCUGUGACGUUACUUGCAAAAGAAGCACCGGCUAACUCCGUGCCAGCAGCCGCGGUAAUACGGAGGGUGCGAGCGUUAAUCGGAAUUACUGGGCGUAAAGCGUACGCAGGCGGUUUGUUAAGCGAGAUGUGAAAGCCCCGGGCUCAACCUGGGAACUGCAUUUCAAACUGGCAAACUAAAGUGUGAUAAAGGGGGGUAAAAUUUCAGGUUGUAGCGGUUGAAAUGCGUAAGAAGAUCCUGAAGAAAUACCCGAUGGCCGAGGGCAGCCCACCCUGGAGUCAACCACUGACCGCUUCAUGUACGAAAGCGUGUGGGGAGCAAACAGGAUUAAGAUACCCCUGGUUAGUCCAACGCCCGUAAAACGAUGGUCCUCACUAAGGAGCUCCGGCUUCUCUCGAAGCUGUUUUUCCAACAGCAUAACGCAAUAAAGUAAACCCGCCUGGGGGAGGUACCGGCCGCCAAGGUUUAAAACUUCAAAUGGAAUUGGCCGGGGGCCCGCACCAAGCGGGUGGAUCCAUUGGGUUUUAUUUCGAUGCCA
rnacentral:rRNA from 1 species